rnacentral:rRNA from 1 species
UACAGAGGUCCCAAGCGUUGUUCGGAUUCACUGGGCGUAAAGGGUGCGUAGGCGGCCUAUUAAGUCAGGGGUGAAAGACGGUGGCUCAACCAUCGCAGUGCCUUUGAUACUGAUAGGCUUGAAUGAACUUGAGGUAGGCGGAAUGUGACAAGUAGCGGUGAAAUGCAUAGAUAUGUCACAGAACACCAAUUGCGAAGGCAGCUUACUAAGGUUUAAUUGACGCUGAGGCACGAAAGCGUGGGGAUCAAACAGG